UUGCUGGACUCAGUUAAAAAAUGCCUUUAUUUUGUCACAAUUGCCUGAAAAACAUCAGUGGCCUCAGUGUUAACCCUGCCAACCCCUCUUUCCACAAAACAAA